rfam:Schistosoma mansoni strain Puerto Rico chromosome 3, complete genome
AUUGAAAUGAAGAGUCGCAAAUAUGACGAAACGCGCGUUCUGGAU